rnacentral:rRNA from 1 species
UACGGAGGAUCCAAGCGUUAUCCGGAUUUAUUGGGUUUAAAGGGUGCGUAGGCGGCCUGUUAAGUCAGGGGUGAAAGACGGUAGCUCAACUAUCGCAGUGCCCUUGAUACUGAUGGGCUUGAAUGGACUAGAGGAAGGCGGAAUGAGACAAGUAGCGGUGAAAUGCAUAGAUAUGACAUAGAACACCAAUUGCGAAGGCAGCUCACUAAGCAAACAUUGACGCUGAGGCACGAAAGCGUGGGGAUCAAACAGG